CCCCGGCAGCCAGCGUUCCUCCCAGGUGGGCUGGAGAAGACCCCGUGGGCUGACCUUAAGUCCACAUGUCCUGGGAGGGCACGUGCCGGCCGGUCCCACAGCGCCACACGCCUGAGCCCAAGCGCGACAGGACCGAGAAUCCCAGGCCUCUAAUGGAAGAACCUCAGGACUGAACCUCCCAGACCAGCUCUCUCCAACCUGUGACCCCUCGGACUCUACAAGGGCUCAGGGUGCCCAGGUGGACCCGAUGUUAGGCACAGUGAAAAAAGGUAUGUAAAAAACCUUUGUAACCAUGUUUGGAGAUGGACGUUAGCCAGACUCCCUGCGGCGCUGGCUGGCAGCACACACACAAGGGAAUCCUUGGCCACCUGACACUCUAGUGUGUGUGUCAGUCCUACCUCAGUAAUGAUGAUCCGUCAUAAUUAAGAAAUUAGAAAUGCCCUGCAAUGCUCAGAUGGAUGCUAGAGGGUGGGAGGAGGCAGCCCUGAGGGUAGGGCUGGCACUAGUCCUCAAAAGGCGACACGUAGAGUCUCCACACCAGUGGGGCGUUCCACUCAGCUGCCCGCUCCUAGGCGUGUGCCCACGGGAGCGUGAAACCCUGUGAAAGCAGAGACUCAGAUCCUUGCCGUGUGCGUAGCGCUCGAGUCGUAGCAGCCCAAAAAGGUGGAGACAGACCAAAUGCUCAUCAACAGGUGCAUGGAUUCACAAAAUAAGAAACAUCCAUGAACACAUAAAAAUAUGAAAAAGGUACAUACGAUGGAAUAUUAGUCAGCCUUAAAAAGGAAGGAAACGCUGACCUAUGCUGCCACAUGGGUGACACCUUGAGGACAGGAUGCUAAGUGAAAUAUACAAGGACAAAUAUUGUCUGAUUGCACUGCUGGAGGCGCCCGGAGCCGAGAGGUCAUAGACAGAAAGCCGAGCAGAGGUCCCUGGGGGCCGGGGGAGCGAGGGAUGGAGACGUGUAACGGGACAGUUUCAGUCAGGGAGGAUGAAAUCAUUCUGGAGAUGGAUGGGGUGAUGGUUGCACAACAUUGGAAAUGUAUUUCAGUGCCAUUGAACUGUUCGAAAUGGUUCAGACGGUCACCUCCACGCCAUGCAUAUCUCGCCAUGAUGAAAAUGGCUCGUUUCAUUGAGAGAGAUGAUUUUGAUUUUGUUUGUAAUCCAUCUUUUUUUUUUCUCUCAGAUGUUCACUGUGGAUGCUUCUGGCACACAGUAGGCCCUCAAUCAUCCCUUGUCACGAUGUGAAGGAGCCUGGCCCCUGCUCCCCACGCCCCCCCAUGACAGGCUCGAUUGCCUACAUCGAGUUUCCCACAGGAAGGCGCUGGGGUCUUUGAUUCCUUCCUCAGCUGCAGGGGGUUGCGCUGGAGACGGUGGUUCUGGGCUCUGAGGACUGGACAGGCAUCCUGAGCUGAGGAAGAAGCGGCUUCUCAUGGAAGUCUCAGAAGAUGCCACUCAGGGCGCUCAAGUCCUGGAGAGUCAUGGGGCCAGGCAGCCAGGACCCCACUUUGGUUGCAUUUCACAGGGGAGAGAGUUCUUUUUCGUUCAGCAGCAGCUCUUUGGAUGUUUUUAAUAUGCUCAUUGCUGUGUCAUCGCUCUCUCUCCCUGAGCAAGUGGGAAAUCAUCAAGUGCUGAGACAGAGUCAGACUCCGGGAUUAAGAAAUUUGCCCCCAGUUUGGUCUUACAAAAUGCUGAUAUCUUUUUAUGAAAUGUGCAAAUUGCAAAGCCACAGGGUGGGAUCAUUCAAGGGGCAGAGUGCUUGGCAAGUCACGUUUCCUAGUCAGGUCUGGUGCUCGCUGGCGUCAUCGUCCCUGCAGAGUUUUAAUCUCGUCCCUCGUUUGGAGAAAACAUGAUGUAGCCCUUGGCCUAAGAGAGUCAUGCAGCUGGGAAAGGAGAGUUUUAUUCUGUCGGUUAAAUGAUGUCCUCCCAGUGGCCCAGCUUUGAUGGCACUUGUAAUGUUCUCAGUUUCUUUUAGCACUGAAGGAAGUUGGGGGAGGCAGGUUGUUGCCCCCCCGGGGCUCCCUGUGACUCCCCAGCAAGCACUCCACCCACAUGGCUGUGCCUUCCUUAUAGCCCACGUGAUGGUGCGUCAGUCCUGAUGCCAGCAUCCCUUUCUGGUUUACUCAGAGUAAUCACCAACACAAAAAAGUCCUCCCCUGCACAUCGGUGGUGAGUAAUGAAUGGGACUCAGAUACACUGUGGAGGAUGUGUCCCUUGUCUAUGCACAGGUGAGGCUGCAGGAGUAGAAAAGAUCCUAUUAUCAAUGCUUUAAUAAAUAAAGGUGCGUUUCCGAGAAUAUAGGGCUGUCUGCUACUAAGAAAAGCCAAAAUGACUUAACUGGGAUGGGGUUUACUUCUUUCUUAUAGAGCAAUCUGAGCAUAAUGUGACCAGUGCUGAUAGGUUGAUAGUUUGUUGUGUUUUAAAAUUAAUGAAUUAACUUACUUAUUUUAUUAUUUAUUGCCUUCUUCAACCUGCAGGCAGCUCCUCCAUCUGGUUUAAUAUGGCUGCAGCAGCUCCUACCAUUGCAUCUGCAUUCCAGCCCAUAGGAGGGACAGAAAAACAAAGGAGAGAUAAAGAAAUGGAGGCCUGGAGAGACGAAGCAACUGGUACACAUUUCCAUGGCAGAUAAAAGAUGAGCACAGGCAGAUUUACAAAACGUAAGUGAAUGGAACUCUUCCAACCCUUCCUCUGUCAUCUCAAACCUCCAAACUGCCCCGGGGACAUCAGGCUUUGGAUAUCACACAGACAAGUCCUGAGUCCUGAUUCCUCGACACUCAGCAUCCUCGGGGCUGCAGCACAGAUGUCUGCUGGUGAAAAAUAUCAGUGCCACAAAGUUAAAGUUCACCAGCUGUUGGAAGCACCUUGGAGGUCAUCUCAUUCAACCUCCCACCCAGCAUAAGACAAGGAAGAGCCACGUGAGCAAAAUAACUGGUCCACAUGGAUGUCUGAGCGGUGUUUGCAGGCAGCUUGUGGUCAGUGGCCAAGGAACAGUGCAGGAAAAAAAAACAGCCACCAGAUCACAGGGUGAGGAUGGUGACUGGAGGCUGGGGACUGGCGAGAAAACCCCUGGCUCUCCUGGCUCCUGAGCUGGCCCUCACAUCUGAGCCCACCCUCCUGCCUGUGCCUGCCAUCACAGCCUUCUCAUCCAGGAGGCCUUCCUGGAUUGCGCUGCUCCAGUCCUGCUUGCCAGCCCCUCCUUCCUCUUCCCUCCCACCGAGCCAGGGUCCUUGUCUCUUUUCCUGCCCCGUCCUGGCUAGAGUCUCCUGCGGUUUCCACACACCCAGACCAUCCUGACAGGGCUUUGCCCCUCCAAGAAUCAGUGCUGGGCUCAGUUCUCUUGCUGCAGAGUCCACAGACCCCCCACUGGCACCAAGGACAAGGGCACCACUGCCCCACGCUGCGCCCCUCACCCCUCAGCCAGACACAUCGCGAGAAAACAUCAGACAAACCCACACUGAAGGAGAGUCUAUAAAAUCCCGACUGUGCCCUUCAAAACCACCAAGGUCAGGAGAAGCAGGAAGAGUGAGGGCCUGUCACAGGGGGGAGGAGGCACGGCCACUAAAUGCCGUGGGGACCUCAGAUGGGGUCACGGAGUAGAAAAGGGACCUUUGUGGGAAACCGGGUGACUCUGAACCCAGUCGGGCUAGUUCAUAGCCGUGCAGCAGAGGCCGCUGCAAGACACCAGUGCUAAUUUCUUAAUUUUGACAAAUGUGCUUUGGUGAUGCAGAGGUUAGCAUGGGGGGAGCAGUGCAGGGGACAUAGCAACUCUGGGCUCUUGGCCUCUUCCCCCUGUAAAUCUAAAAUUAUUCCAAAAUAAGAUGUGUAGUAAGAAGAUGAACCUCACCACCGCGUGGCU